UCUAUCUGCCGACCAAAUGAGCAGGAAUUCCCAGAAGCCUUUGCCUGCUAACCCUAACCCUAACUCCCCCGGAAGGAGUGGUCAUCUGAUCAGUAGUCCCAUUGCUGUCGGUGUCCCCAUCCCUGUACCUGUCCCCGGUGUCCCCAGGCCGCUGAGACCUAUUCCACACCACAACAGAUCUGUUCCUAAGCAACCCCCAACACUACCUAAGCCUCGUAUGAUCGUCCACGCCAAGUUCAGCAGCUGAGAGAAGCUGGACUAAACCUGAAGGGAAUUUAAGGACGUUCUUUCCGUGAGACGAUAAAAGACAUUUCACUUUGCACUAUGAAACUCUGAAAAAACCUUAAUGAUGUGGUGUCUCUGAGUUUUGAAUAAUGGGGACGGACCGUUGGGCGGUUGGCGUGUCAGCGAGUCAGCCCCCCCCCUGUUGGUGCUCUGAUGUCAGAGAGGUGCUAUAGGUCUGAGCUCAGGUACACGUAUGUAGAGUAUUUAUGUUUUGUGUAUUUAUUCAUUAGUUAUUAUUUUUUUAUUAUUCUACUGUUAGUAGAAUUGUAUUUGAUUUCAAUCAUGGGGACAUUUUACCCCGUUUUGAUGGACAGGAAGCAAGGGGAAAGGUCUAACUUAACAAACGCCUGUCUCUGGAGAUCUGGGAAGUUGUGAAGACCCUAACGUGGCGUUCAAUGACCUAGAUUCAGAACAAAGGGGACGACACCUCCAAACAUCAGACAGGGAGACUUUCUUCUGCACUUCCUCCGUACAGUAUACAGCCACCUGUUGUAAGACAACAGCAUCACUGGUAAACCCUGUCGUAGGUCUUCCUCCGUACAGUAUACAGCCACCUGUUGUAAGACAACAGCAUCACUGGUAAACCCUGUCGUAGGUCUUCCUCAGUACAGUAUACAGCCACCUGUUGUAAGACAACAGCAUCACUGGUAAACCCUGUUGUAGGUCUUCCUCAGUACAGUAUACAGCCACCUGUUGUAAGACAACAGCAUCACUGGUAAACCCUGUCGUAGGUCUUCCUCAGUACAGUAUACAGCCACCUGUUGUAAGACAACAGCAUCACUGGUAAACCCUGUCGUAGGUCUUCCUCCGUACAGUAUACAGCCACCUGUUGUAAGACAACAGCAUCACUGGUAAACCCUGUCGUAGGUCUUCCUCCGUACAGUAUACAGCCACCUGUUGUAAGACAACAGCAUCACUGGUAAACCCUGUCGUAGG